rnacentral:rRNA from 1 species
UACGGAGGGUGCAAGCGUUAUCCGGAUUCACUGGGCGUAAAGGGCGCGUAGGCGGCGCGACAAGUCAAUGGUGAAAGCCCGAGGCUCAACUUCGGGUCGGCCACUGAUACUGUUGGGCUUGAGCACUGUAGAGGCAGGUGGAAUUCCGGGUGUAGCGGUGGAAUGCGUAGAGAUCCGGAAGAACACCGGUGGCGAAGGCGGCCUGCUGGGCAGUAGCUGACGCUGAUGCGCGACAGCGUGGGGAGCAAACAGG